CAUCUCCAAUGAUGCUUUGCACUGGGCUCCGAAUCCUUGUGACGAUUAAGUGCAGCUCUGCCCUGACAAGGUGGAGUCUGAGGAGAUU